GGGGAACUGAAACAUCUAAGUACCCCGAGGAAAAGAAAUCAACCGAGAUUCCCCCAGUAGCGGCGAGCGAACGGGGAGCAGCCCAGAGUCUGAAUCAGCUUGUGUGUUAGUGGAACGGUCUGGAAAGUCCGACGGUACAGGGUGAUAGUCCCGUACACCAAAAUGCACAGGCUGUGAACUCGAAGAGUAGGGCGGGACACGUGGUAUCCUGUCUGAAUAUGGGGGGACCAUCCUCCAAGGCUAAAUACUCCUGACUGACCGAUAGUGAACCAGUACCGUGAGGGAAAGGCGAAAAGAACCCGGCGAGGGGAGUGAAAAAGAACCUGAAACCGUGUACGUACAAGCAGUGGGAGCACCUUCGGGUGUGACUGCGUACCUUUUGUAUAAUGGGUCAGCGACUUAUAUUCUGUAGCAAGGUUAACCGUAUAGGGGAGCCGCAGGGAAACCGAGUCUAACUGGGCGUUAAGUUGCAGGGUAUAGACCCGAAACC
rnacentral:rRNA from 1 species